CACACACACACACACACACACACACACACACACACACACACAACAGACAACAACAUAACUUCCUCCAGUGGGUUUGGUUAUUGAUAAUGGUCUUUGGGAUGUAAUUUGACUAUUAGAAAAGUUUUGAUACUUUAGGUAUUGACAACAACACAAAAUGUGACGAAUCCAUAGAGCAUUGGCUAUAAUAAGGCCUGGGUCCAGUUGUGCUUUUAGCUUCCUGUCUGACUAUAGGGAAACACUUCAAUUUAGGAGAAUCUGGGUCAAAUGUUCAUGUACUGUCUCAUUUGCAUUACUAGUAAAAACAUUUUUUUUUUUAAAUACAGUUUUUAUGAUUAUUUGCUAUUAUUUGCUUCUGUUUAUUUGUGGGACUACAGUCAGCCUCCAUUACAUAAGUCAACGACGAGAAAAGGCAUCAGUAGAUUUGUAAUUGUAACACAUUGAAAUCAAAUGAAACCUGUUUUUCAGUAGCCAAACGUUCAUCAAACCACACGUCAUUGGUGUAUCUAGGCCUCUAAAACCCUGUGGUUUCAUCACCUCAACCAUCAGAUAGGAAGUUAUCUGUCAGCAUCAACAGUGUUUUAGUUUCAAAGCUUCAGGGUGACUCCCAAAUGAUACCCUCUUCUCUAUGUAGUGCACUACUUUUAGGGGUCCUGGUCUAAAGUAGUGCACUACUUUUAGGGGUCCUGGUCUAAAGUAGUGCACUACUUUUAGGGGUCCUGGUCUAAAGUAGUGCACUACUUUUAGGGGUCCUGGUCCAAAGUAGUGCACUACAUAGGGAAUAGGGUACCAUUUGAGACGCAUUGACAUAAUAUAGGUUGAGGAAAACAUAUGUCACCUAAAUGAAUAGGCCUGGACUGUAGAGCGUGGACUGAAAACCGAGGCUUCAUCCAAAAUGGCACCAAAAUGGGUGCCAUUUUGGACUCACCCUGAGCGUACUGCGGUAGUAAGAGGAUGCUACAACAGAAGCAGUGGAAGCUUACAUGGCAUAUGUAUACUGCGAGGCCUCUAUCCACGGAGCACAGAACAACAACAUUGACAAGUCACUUAUAAAGGGCCAGACAGGACAGGUGCCUUGGCUUUAGGCAAAUCCAACCCUGUUUCAGUCCCAUUUUCACAAUGAUAUCUUAAACCAUGGAUUCCAUAGUUUCCGGCUGAUGAUGUAUACAGGAAGUGUAGGUCCUCCACGUCCUGUAAGCUUUGAGCAAAGGAUCAUGGGUCGCAGUGGAUGACUAACAGGUUUAAAGCAGAAACAAAGAACAAAACAAUGACAAAAAAAAACAACAACAAAAAAAGUAAAAAUGUAUCAGGAAGCAAUCUGUUGUGGGCUGUUCAUUAAGCUGCGUUAUUUGUUUGUCAAUAAACAGCCCAUCCCACAGAAAGAACAUCAACCAACAGCUGCCUUUCGUUUUUAUGUACACAUUUUCUGUUUGUUGUUUUCUUAUAAAAUCCACUGCUGCCCUAAACGUCUCCUCCCUCCUUACAGACAUGGGUCCUGCAAUGCAGUCAACUAACCCUUUCAGUGAUCGGCGUCCGAGACUCGACCGUCUCCUCCUGGCUAGGUCUGGGUACGACUGAGACCAUCUCCUCCCUGCUAGGUCUGGGUACGACUGAGACCGUCUCCUCCCUGCUAGGUCUGGGUACGACUGAGACCGUCUCUUCCCUGCUAGGUCUGGGUACGACUGAGACCGUCUCCUCCCUGCUAGGUCUGGGUACGACUGAGACCGUCUCCUCCCUGCUAGGUCUGGGUACGACUGAGACCGUCUCCUCCCUGCUAGGUCUGGGGACGACUAAGCAGGAUACAAUGUCUCUCAAAUCCCUCCCUUCCACCGUCCCUGCUGCCACGUCCACUUGAUGCUUGUUGGCACUGGUGUCACCCAUUCCCACCACUGCAGCUGCUGGAGGCUUUGGACACCUGUCCUGUCUGACCUCCCUGACCUCCUCUCUCUUUCCUCUGGCCGUGGUGGUGCUGGCCCGG
ensembl:lncRNA